rnacentral:rRNA from 1 species
GGGUUAGUAGGUUGGUCAUGCCUCUGGUAUGCACUGGUCUCACUGAUUCCUCCUUCCUGAUGAGCCGUAAUGCCAUUAAUUUGGUGUUGCGGGGAAUUUGGACUGUUACUUUGAAAAAAUUAGAGUGUUUAAAGCAAGCUAACGCUUGAAUACAUUAGCAUGGAAUAAUGAAAUAGGACGUUCGAUCCUAUUCUGUUGGUUUCUAGGCGUAGAGUA